rnacentral:rRNA from 1 species
UCGAGCGAGUCUGCCUUGAAGAUCGGAGUGCUUGCACUCUGUGAAACAAGAUACAGGCUAGCGGCGGACGGGUGAGUAACACGUGGGUAACCUGCCCAAGAGAUCGGGAUAACACCUGGAAACAGAUGCUAAUACCGGAUAACAACAGAUGAUGCCUAUCAACUGUUUAAAAGAUGGUUCUGCUAUCACUCUUGGAUGGACCUGCGGUGCAUUAGCUAGUUGGUAGGGUAACGGCCUACCAAGGCGAUGAUGCAUAGCCGAGUUGAGAGACUGAUCGGCCACAUUGGGACUGAGACACGGCCCAAACUCCUACGGGAGGCAGCAGUAGGGAAUCUUCCACAAUGGACGCAAGUCUGAUGGAGCAACGCCGCGUGAGUGAAGAAGGGUUUCGGCUCGUAAAGCUCUGUUGUUGGUGAAGAAGGACAGGGGUAGUAACUGACCUUUGUUUGACGGUAAUCAAUUAGAAAGUCACGGCUAACUACGUGCCAGCAGCCGCGGUAAUACGUAGGUGGCAAGCGUUGUCCGGAUUUAUUGGGCGUAAAGCGAGUGCAGGCGGCUCGAUAAGUCUGAUGUGAAAGCCUUCGGCUCAACCGGAGAAUUGCAUCAGAAACUGUCGAGCUUGAGUACAGAAGAGGAGAGUGGAACUCCAUGUGUAGCGGUGAAAUGCGUAGAUAUAUGGAAGAACACCGGUGGCGAAGGCGGCUCUCUGGUCUGUUACUGACGCUGAGGCUCGAAAGCAUGGGUAGCGAACAGGAUUAGAUACCCUGGUAGUCCAUGCCGUAAACGAUGAGUGCUAAGUGUUGGGAGGUUUCCGCCUCUCAGUGCUGCAGCUAACGCAUUAAG